CGGUGGGCGGCCAGAUGAUAAAGAUGUGUGGGGAACUCUAAAGAGGAGCAGUUCUGUGGAGGAGUGGUAGUGGAAAAUGCAAAUAGCCAUUCUCAAUUCCUGAUUUAUUUCUCAUGUGCCAGAUACACCUAUGGGAAACCUGUCCCAGGACUUGCAACUGUGAGCCUGUGUAGAAAAUUAUUUCAUGUUCCUAACUGUGAUAAGCACGAGGUCUGUGAGGAAUUCAGUCAACAGACCUGGUAGUCACUGCAAACGGGAUCAGUGAAAUCACAAACAUUGCAUCCAAACUCAUAUUUGUGAAAGUGGAUUCACACUUUAGACAAGGAAUCCCCUUUUUUGGACAGGUGCUUCUGGUGGAUGGGAAAGGUGUGCCCAUCCCCAAUAAACUCAUCUUCAUCUCUGCGAGCGAAGCCAAUUAUUUCUCCAAUGCGACCACCAAUGAACAGGGUCUUGCACAGUUUUCAAUCAAUACUACCCAUAUCUUGGCUAAUAAACUUUUUGUCCAGGUUUACACUGUGCAUCCUAACUUGUGUUUUCACUAUUCAUGGGUAACAGAAGACCACCAGGGCGCUCAGCACACUGCAAAUCAUGUUUUCUCCUUAAGUGGGAGUUACAUUCACCUGGAGCCUGUGGCUGGUACCCUGCCCUGUGGCCACACACAGCGUAUCAGGGCACACUAUAUACUGAAUAUUCAGGCUGUGGGAGAGCUAUCGGAGCUCAGUUUCCAUUACCUGGUAAGAAUGAGGCCAUGGAAUACAAUUGCAGCUUAUCAGUAGGACAAAAGUGGUCAAUAG
rnacentral:lncRNA from 1 species